UACGUAGGGGGCGAGCGUUGUCCGGAAUUAUUGGGCGUAAAGAGCGUGUAGGCUGUUCGGUAAGUCUGCCGUGAAAACCUGAGGCUCAACCUCGGGCGUGCGGUGGAUACUGCCGGGCUAGAGGACGGUAGAGGCGAGUGGAAUUCCCGGUGUAGCAGUGAAAUGCGCAGAUAUCGGGAGGAACACCGGUGGCGAAGGCGGAUCUCUGGGCCUUACCUGACGCUCAGGCGCGAAAGCUAGGGGAGCGAACAGG
rnacentral:rRNA from 1 species